CGACCAAUAACCAUGCAUGAAAUUUGGGGACAGUGAGAAAAUCUACUACGAUUCUUGAGCAUGAUUUGAGGAACGGGGAAUUUGGGAUUGGAAACGUAGUGUCGGUGUGAUUUCCACUUUAUUUUAUAGAGAAGAAAAUGGUCCAUACAUUCUGAAUAACGAAAACACGACUUCCCUGAAACGAACACUGCUAAGCAAUUUCACCAUCAAUAGCUGUAGCCAUCAAUUAAAUUUUAUUUACAGUCAAUUUCAGUGAGAACAGAAAUAAGCAAAACUGCACAUGCACCCGACAAAUACUGAGUUAAACUUGACUACCAUUGCAGCAAUUUAUCAUAGUACACAAAAAAUGGGACCACCAAAUUCUAAUUCUAUAACAUUAAAUCAAAAUAAGAGGUCGUAACGCGUUGACAGUAUCCCUUUUUUACUCGCCAUGUUUCCAUGUAGCGACAUGGGGUCGGAGAAAGGAAGAAGAGAGAUCGAGUUACCUUUGCUUAUGGCAUAUCAAGACUCCAAUGAGGCGAACUUAAUGAAAUUCAACACUCGGUAUCAAAAUUUGUCAAGUCCAGUCGAUAAAUUUCUCGAGCUGAUCUUGAUCCUCCCUGGUCUGCAGCCCUACGCAACACAGAAGAUUAGCUUAAAUAUUUUACACAUAUAAACUUUUAAUGUCACUAUCUAUGACAACUUUAUUAUAAGAAAAAUAUUGCUUAAAUAAUUUUCACAUAUAAAACUUUUCAUGUCACUUUCUAUGACAACUUUAGUAUACGAAAAAUAGGAAGGAAACUGAUAUUGGACCACAUUUUACUUAUAAAAUACACAAUGAAAUCAGUAAGCAUUUCAGAAACACAGUGCAGAAAUGAGGACCACCCUACAAACCCAAUCUGCAGAAGCUAAUCAUUUGAAAAUAAACUAAUUAAUUUCCCGAAUAGGAGGCUCUUCAUCCAUACUACAUGCAUAAAGAAAUAAGAACAAACAGAAACAACUAUGACAUCGUAAAGCAUAUAAAAUCAUACCUGUAGCUUCCACAUAUCACUUGAAAGUACGCGAUUUCCAGGUCCAAAUGGCAAUCUUGCAUGUUCAAUUUAAUAAAAAUGAGAGAGCAAGAAACAGAUGGUGUUUUAUGAUACAUUAAUAGACAAAACAGUGAAAGAAGUGCUGAAAAUUGUACAGUACCAGGUAUUUGAAUUAUCAUAAUCAUCAGAUUAUUACCAAAACUGUAAACUGUGUAGGGAUACAUAUGAUAUACUUGGAACCACAUAUUAAACUUUCUGAUAGAAUCUUUAAAACAUUUAGCUCGAGCAGCAGUUCACAGUUUUACGCACUCGAAUAAGCUAUAAUUUUGAAGUAAAAUCAACAGAAACACUCCCAAGUAAAACUCUGUUUCUAUAAGUAAUACUGAAAAGGUGGCAAAACUACGCGUCAAAGGAAUAAUUUAUAAAAGAAUCCAAGAAACAACUCAAAAAAUGUAAAACGUCGAGUAUAAACUCAAAUGAGGAGCUUCCAACUGAUUUUGAUUUAGAAAACUAUUGAAGAAAAAAAACCGCAACAAAAUUUCAAGCUAUUUCUUCAUAAGCAAACAUUCAACAAACAAGGGGAGUUCACCUCUUACAGUAUGACCAUGAUGUCGAGCUUUCGUAUGAUCAACAGCAACAAGAAUGAUUUUGAGCACGUCUAAUCAAUAGACUAUGAUUUAUGGAAAUAUGGAAAAGGAAACAUGUUAGACUUUUCUCUCUAAUAACCAUAGAAGUUUAGUUCGGUUUAUCCAUAGGAAAUUAACAACUACUUGAACCAGAAGGUCACGAAGAGAUACUAGAGAUGAGAUCUUAGGUUAUUUACCGAGAUUUAGCAACAUUUUCUUAAAAACGUUAAAGUGAGAACGAACACAGAAGAAAAACAGCCAGCUGUAUGUCAUCAAAAUUCACCGUUCAACAUUCAAUAAAAGCAUGUAUGGUAUAAAAGAUUAGAUGGUAUAAAUAUACAAUGGACAAGAUUUUAUUUUCUUUUUUUACAUAUAUUGUUCACUACUGUACAAUCAAUCUUGCCAAACGAGCCAUAAGUGAAUAAUAAAGGCAUCUUGCCAGAAGGGGAUCAUCUUUUGGAUACAAGACUCAGCCCAAAGGAAAACAAAAUGAAGGCAACAGCAAGAGGAGCUCCCUUCAGUCCAAGCACAGAGAAAGAGGGACAUGAAACUAUCUCCCGCAUCAUUCAUUCAAUCACAGUAGCAUAAAACAUCCUGUAAUCUACUUAGUGGCUAAACGAAUGAGUCGGCAGCUAGUUCAACCCCCAGUAUCGUCCAUGAAUGGGCUGACAGAAGCUCCUUUGAACCAUUUCUCAGUGCAGAAACAUUUCAAAAUAUUGAUCAUGUUAUCCAAAGGAUCAAGAAGACUUACAAGAGAGUGAUAGAGGAAAACAAUUGAAAUUUCAAUCCUUCAACUUAAAAGUCUAUCAACUACAUAUGGACAACCAAAAUCACGACAUAUUUUAUGCUAAUAACCUGACAAAUUAAGAAACCCCAAUAUUCACAAAACUAUCUGGAUUUUGAUUAUUUUCAGACAAUAACUUCCACUGGAAUUUAUUAAGUAAACCAAAAGAGUAUAUAAAUUAUUCGUAAGGGAAAGCAGACCUUAGGUUCCAUUGCCUAUAUUUUAUCAAUAAAAGGAUAUAUGUAAAUGAAAUUGAAAAUUGAUAUCAAUUCUUAAAGAUUAAAAUGAAAAAAAAUAAAAUAAAAUAUUCUUGAACUGAUGCAACAAACCCUAAAAUCAAGGGAUGAUGUUACUGAGAAGGAAAAUCAAAACCCAUAAUCCAGAUAUCCACAAUUAUGUUAAUCUAUAUCAAAAAUUAAAUUAUCAAAUGAAGUUAUAGUAAAGCAAAUUAAAAUAUAUAAAUAUGAUAGGCAAAUGAAAGAAAUUAUUUAACUGCUCAUACUUGUGAUGGAGAAGCACAGAAAAG
rnacentral:lncRNA from 1 species